AAGUAUAAAACUGUGCCACUGUCUUCACUUUACAAAGGAAACCCUUUCUGAAUAAUUUGCCAUGUCUCUGAAAAUGUUUCAAAUUUUGGUGUCUGCUCUGCUGUUUACAGCUUCUGUUUCAGGUGUCCUUGGAGCACCUUUUCUGGCAGAAGAAUCAGCAAAUCAAUUCAUACGACUUAAACGACACAUACCGUAUUCUCAGAGCUCCUGGGACCCAAGCAGUAGCCAGAAUUCAUGGGCAUACACUGUGGCUGAACAGAUUAGUGAAUCAUGGGCAGCUUUGAGAGACACAGCACAGUACUACAUGGACUUGAACCCUCUUGCCUUCAAUCCUUCGAUAUCCAAGUACGAUGGGGUUUCUCAACAGAGCAUUUCAUAGGCUUGGAGUGUGUGUGUGUACCUAAUGACAACAUCCUAUCUUAUGUGGACCUGCUGCAGCAGUCUGGGACUCACCUCCACCAACAGACAAGGACAAGCUAUUAAAUCCUACAUGUCUUGUAUCUGGCCAUGUUAGGAUAUGGCAUGUUAUGUAUUUGCCAUUAUGUAUUUGAUAAGACAACUUUAUCUCACCCAAUUGUCUAAACCCAAAAUUAAUACACUAAUUCUCUGCAUAAAUACUACAUAUUUUAUAUUCAUAAGUAGAACUAAGAUCUAACUCAUGGUAAAUUGAAUAAGAAGUUUAACAAAAACAAUAAUGAACUUUUAACAGAUUGAGCUUAAAAAAAUACAGUGUUUUCAGGUAAAACAUUUUUUUUGACUAAACAGUUGUUCUGAAAUGUACAUUCCUGCUUCUGUGACUGAAAACCACAUAUUUAUUUCUCAAUAUUUCCUUUAGCUACAUUUCUGAGAGGCAAGUAAGAAAUGAAAAUCAGUCAUUUUGGGUGGGUAAGAGAUGUAGAGCACGUGUGCUUCAUGUACAGUUCUGUACUUCAGGUGCAUUUCUGUUUUUUCAAGUACUGGGGUCAAAUUAAUAGUAGGAAGUGUAGUAUACAUCCAUUCACGUCCAUGCUCUGCUUUCCUUAUUUAAACUUCUGUACUUGGUCUUGAAUUCCCAAACCAGCUGAAUCCACAGCUACUACUGUGAGCUGGUUUUUUUUUUCUUACUCCUUGGAGUUGGGAAUUCAUGGAAACAUUCACUACUCCUUUUCUAAAAAAAAUGGUGAUGACAAAUGUUAUUUCUGCCAAGUUCUUGAGUUUGGAAUUUUCCUGGCUCCUAUUAAUUAUUGUACCUUAUUUAAGAACAUCUUUGAAUAAAGGAUUGGGCUGCCAUAUUUCUUUUGUGUGU
rnacentral:lncRNA from 1 species